CAGGGCCGGCAGGCAGCAGCUAUCGAGAUGUUU
rnacentral:SRP_RNA from 1 species